AUGUCAUAUCUUAGCAAUGUUCGCGCCUCAUUGGAUUUAUCGAAGCAAUUAUCGAUCGUCCGCGAUUAGAGUAGAUAGGCUACUCGCAACCCCCACCUUCCGUUCCUUAUACUCCGCGCGAAAGAUCAACUCUAUUGUCAAACAAAGUGUCGAGUCGAGGUCAAUCGAGAUAAGUUAAGAACGUUGACGAACGGUUCCAGCGAGACCGUGAAUAGGAAAUACAAUUUACAUAGAUAUGGUAAGAUUUAUAUAAAAGUUUUCUAAUUUGCGUUGAAGCGGCUAAAUUAUUAACACUGCGCAGCAUCGCUAGUGCCAACGGCCAUAUUAAAAUGACUGUUCAAAAUGAUUCAAAUUGGAUAACCGAGAGAAAGAAGAUCGCACGAGUCUACCUGAAAAUCUGAUCGUUUAAAACGAUUGCUACAGCCAUAGCAUAUACACACGCAACAUCGAUUUCGUCGACUUUAGGAUUCUUUCUGGACUUUCUGGAAACUUAUUUCUUCACAACAUGACGGAUCUCGAAAGCACUGGUCUGGCAAAUCCAAAAGUGUUUCCACUGGCGAACGAAACACUCAGUUCAAGAAUCUUUAAUACAGUACAAAAAGCUAAGACUCACAGCCAACUCAAAACGGGGCCUAUGAGACUACGAAAACGUUAUACAGAAAAAAGCAAGCCUGGUUUAUUGUGAUAGCGGCCGAUGCCAAACGUUCUACUAUCCGCCAUUUGCUGUUUAUCUGCGAGAAGAAAAGCGUCCCUUACGUUUUUGUUAAAGGAGACAUUAGGACAAAUAUGCGGAGAACAAAACCCAGUGAUAACCUGCUCCAUGUUAAUAAAUGAAGAAUCAAACUGGCACCGCAGAUUCAAAGCAUACGUCGAGUAAUAGAAGGACUUUUAAUGUCAUCGCACCUUUGACAAUAUAGUCAAAGCAUCACACACACACAGGAAAACUUAAGCGGUGAGAUUUAAGAGAUGCCAUCAAUCACAAGUUUCAAGUUUUAAAAUGUCUGCUACGUUCUCGACUGUGAUUGAUCGCAAAGAAAAUUAAGACUUUUAAGUCUUAAAUUUUACUGCUUAGGUUUUCUUAUGUGCCUUAAAAGCAAGCCUGGUUUAUUGUGAUAGCGGCCGAUGCCAAACGUUCUACUAUCCGCCAUUUGCUGUUUAUCUGCGAGAAGAAAAGCGUCCCUUACGUUUUUGUUAAAGGAGACAUUAGGACAAAUAUGCGGAGAACAAAACCCAGUGAUAACCUGCUCCAUGUUAAUAAAUGAAGAAUCAAAACUGGCACCGCAGAUUCAAAGCAUACGUCGAGUAAUAGAAGGACUUUUAAUGUCAUCGCACCUUUGACUAUAUAGUCAAAGCAUCACACACACACAGGAAAACUUAAGCGGUGAGAUUUAAGAGAUGCCAUCAAUCACAAGUUUCAAGUUUUAAAAUGUCUGCUACGUUCUCGACUGUGAUUGAUCGCAAAGAAAAUUAAGACUUUUAAGUCUUAAAUUUUACUGCUUAGGUUUUCUUAUGUGCCUUUAAACAGGAUGUGUAUCCAGUUUUUCUAUACGUUUUUUACACAUAUCAACCCUUAUUGUAAAUAAGGCUGAAACUUAAUGUAAAAAUGUAAAUAAUAUAAAAAUAAGAAUAGAAUGGAAUCGCUUAUUAUUAUAAUACUUAUUAUAAUACAAAUUAUUUAUGUGUAGAAUAUUUGCCAGAACAAUAAACAGCUCUCUACCCUGCAGUAUAAACAAAA